rnacentral:rRNA from 1 species
UUGAACGCUGGCGGAAUGCUUUAUACAUGCAAGUCGAGCGGUAGUGUGGGGGUAAUUUUGGUGGUGAGUGGCGAAUGGGUGAGUAAUAUAUCGGAACGUACCCUGUCGUGGGGGAUAACUAUCCGAAAGGAUAGCUAAUACCGCAUACGACCUGAGGGUGAAAGCGGGGGACCGUAAGGCCUCGCGUGAUAGGAGCGGUUGAUAUCGGAUUAGCUAGUUGGUGAGGUAAAGGCUUAUUAAGGUGAUGAUUUGUAGUUGGUUUGAGAGGAUGAUCAGUCACAUUGGAACUGAGAUAUGGUUUAGAUUUUUAUGGGAGGUAGUAGUGGGGAAUUUUGGACAAUGGGGGCAACUUUGAUCCAGCCAUUCCGCGUGAGUGAAGAAGGCUUUUGGGUUGUAAAGUUCUUUCAGCAGGAACGAAACGGUGGUCCCUAAUACGGGCUACUAAUGACGGUACCUGAAGAAGAAGCACCGGCUAACUACGU